AAUUCAUGGUGCGGGCAUUUUCGAAUAAACAUUUUGAAUCUUUCCCAUGCCUCAUAGAAACUUUCUCCCUCCAUUUGUCUAAAAAUAGCAAUUUCUCUUCUUAGUU
rfam:Gossypium raimondii chromosome 7, whole genome shotgun sequence.